rnacentral:rRNA from 1 species
UACGUAGGGGGCAAGCGUUGUUCGGAAUUACUGGGCGUAAAGGGCGCGUAGGCGGCACAGCAAGUCGGGAGUGAAAGCCCGGGGCUCAACCCCGGAAUGGCUUUCGAAACUGCUGAGCUAGAGUACAGAAGGGGCAACCGGAAUUCCCAGUGUAGCGGUGAAAUGCGUAGAUAUUGGGAAGAACACCUGAGGCGAAGGCGGGUUGCUGGGCUGAUACUGACGCUGAGGCGCGAAAGCGUGGGGAGCGAACAGG